rnacentral:rRNA from 1 species
AUGAACAUAUUUAAAAAAGCUCAUAAACGACGUCUGUGUGACGGCAGCCUGGCGCUCCACCCCAUCGACGUCUGCCACCGGAGCCUGCUGUACGGCCUGCCGCGCGAGAUGGUUAAGGGGCGGGAAGACGAGUUCAUCCGCUCCGCCACGGAGCUGGACCAGGCGGGCAUCCGGUUCGCGAGGAGCUCCACGCGCAGCCUCCACGACAUCGGCUUCCUCGACGGCGCGCUCCACGUCCCGGAGCUCACCGUGGACGACUACACGGAGCACAAGCUCUUCAGCCUGAUGGCCUUCGAGCGCCUGCACGCUGGCGCCGGUGCCAACGAGGUGACGGCCUACGUCUUCUUCAUGGACAACAUCAUCAAGUCGGCCGCCGACGCCCAGCUCGUCUGCUCCAAGAGGAUCAUCUCCAAUGGCCUCGGCAGCGACAAGGAGGUGGCCAGGAUGUUCAACCGCCUGGCCAACGAAGCGGAGCUGGACAAGUACAGCCCGCUCCGCACCCUGCACGGCCAGGUCAACACCUACUGCGAGAAGCGCCGAAACCAGUGGCGAGCGAGCCUCAUCCGGAACCACGCCGCCAAUCCCUGGGCCGCCGUCCUCCUCCUCGCCCUCACCGUCCUGCAGACCGUCUACACCGUGCUGCCCUACUACCAACAGCAACCAUAA